UACCCUGUAGAUCCGGACUUGUGAUCAGUAUAACAGCACAAAUCCGAUUUACAGGUUAGG
rnacentral:pre_miRNA from 1 species